rnacentral:lncRNA from 1 species
AACAUAAAUUAGUUUUAAUAAUAAUUUGAUUGUAAAUAUAAAUUAAAGUCAGAUCUAAUAUUAACAAUAAUUAUUGUAAACAAAAAAAAAGAGGGAGGGAGAGAGCCGAUAUUUCCACUCAAUUGUUUAAUUGAGAGAGUAUACUUAGGCAGUGUUUAUUUUCUGAAGUGGAAGUGAGGAGUAUGUAUUCUUCCCACCUCAGUGUUUACUUAAAUAAAAUAGAGAGAGAUUGAGAAUUCCAUUCCGUGGGCCCCACCUAUUUUUGGAGUGGGGGGUGGGAGUGAGACUCCCACCUCUAUCUUUUCUACCAUUUGUUUUUAAUUUAAUUUAAUAAAAUAAAA